rnacentral:lncRNA from 1 species
ACUGGGCCCUUGUAAUAUUUUCCCAAUCUAUGUAAGCAUGGGAACUAAUGUUACUGUUGUGCAGGUGUUGCUAAGAUGGCCAUAUUGUUGAUAUUUCUAGGAUACAAUUUGGCUGCCAUACAUAAAAGGUAUAAUGUCACAGCAAAGGACAAUGCCCUCUGGCUCUUACAACAUUUUUGUUCCUUGUUUCUGAAAUGUUCCCUGGGACUAGGAUUUUUUUUUAUGGGUUUGUGUUUGUCAAUCUCUCACCUAGUAUUGGUGAGAUUUGUGUUUUUGAACUAUCAAGUAAGGUACAGCAACUGAUGGCUAGUCAGUGUUUAUAUUUGACCAGUUGUUAAUACCUGUAAUGGCCUCCACCACUUGCAAAAAGAAACUUCUUUGAUGAUGGAUGUGAGCUACACUUAUAGGUGGGUAUAAAAAUAUUAGGAUACAAGUAGAAAACACCAGUUUUGGAAAGUGGAAAUAUUACAUUCUCCUCCAGAGUCUAUGACCUCACUGAAUAUAUUGUCCAAAUCAGAAAUAUUUCUUCAAAUAUCUGCCAUCUUAUUGCCGUGGAGGCUUUCAAGAUCCUUUAUCCUAACUUUUGUAAGUCAUGGAACUUACUUUUGUCAGUUAACUAUUACUGCAGGUAGUUGUGUGCUGUCACGUGGUGCAGGGAAUCAAAUCUGGGUCAUAGGCAAGAGCAGCAGUGCUCUUUCUUGCUAAUUCUUCUCCCUAGUACCAUCGUUUGAUUUUGUGCCUGAUGAGAUGUAUUGUUUUUUGUCUUGCCGUAGAAUCAUUUAUCUAUGUCCCUGAAUUCAAUUUGCUUAGGAAUUUUGGGUCUAUACCAUAACUGGUAGUGGCCUACAUUCUCCUUCAUUCCACUUUCUUUAAUUUUGCUAUUAGUAUAAUUCUAUCAUAAAAUAAGUUUGUGUCUCUCCUUUUCUUUUUCUAAAACAGACUGCACAGGAUUGCCAUCUAUUUUGUGAAGACUUGGCAGAGUUUUCCAAUGGAACCAUCCACAUAUAGAGUUGUUCUGCAAGCCUUUUACGCAUUCAGAUUUGUUUUUGCUUAUGAUACUAGCCACAUGGUUUAAUUCUAUUUAGUUGAGAUGUUAUAGUCUAUAACUCUGUAUGAAUUGAUCUGUUGAUAAACUAUUUUCUUAUACUGGCCUUUUCAUAAGCACUAUUUUUAUGCUUUCAAGGGCUUUUUGUUUUCUGCUGUUUGGUUACAUUGAUUUUUAUUUGCCUGUAACUAUUUUACCAUUUUCCUACUUUAAAUUUACUUGACUCUUGGUUUUCUUUUCUUUUUUUUUUUUUAAUUAUAUUGUUGACUUACCAAUUUAAGACCUUUGUUUAUUUCUUAGUAUAAGCAUAUGUCUUGUGAGUUUUAUCUUCAAAACUGUGUUGUGUGCACUCCAGUCCUCCAGAUAUUUUGACUUAUUCAAAUUUUAUCCCUGUGUAAAUUUGCGUACUCCACCUUUUCUGAAAUUCUUCCUUGAGCCAUUAGUACCUGGGAAGUUUGUUAUUCAAUCUUCCAGUGGACAGACUUGUUAUUCUUUUCUCUCUUUUACUAAAUUUAGUUGAUUUCAUUGGCAUAAUAGAGCAUACUCUUAUGCUCUUAUGAUGUAAACACUUACAAAGUUUUGAGAUUUUUCUUUUCUUUUUUACCCUUACAAAGUUUGGUCCAUGUUGGAAAAUAUUUUAUAGAUGCUGGAAAAAUAUAAAUUUAAUUUCUGUCAGCUAGAGUGUCCUAUUAAUAGCAAUUUUGCCACCUUAAUGGUUUAUGAUGAUCAGGUUUUCUACACUAUAUUUGUGCUGUCUGUUUGAAACGCCUAUAAAUUUCUAAGAGAGGACUGUUGAAUUCCCUAACUACAAGGGUAGUUCAACUAUUUUAUAGAAAUGCAAUAUAUAUAUGUGUGUGUGUGUGCUUGCAUGUGCAUGUCAUUUUACAAUAUGCCUAUAGCACAUGAAAAUUGCAUAAUGUUUCUUAGGACACAAACUUUCUUUUACCUUCUGUGCUAGAUAAGUUUUACUGAAGCAUGUAGUAACACAGUGACAUGCAGAGGUAUGAAUAGAGCCUGGAUUGUGUAACUUUCAUAGUUUCUCAACUCACUGAUUUUCCAUACAUAAACUUACUUUUGCUAUUUUAUUACCACUGCUUCUGUCAGAUUAGACAUGAAGAGGAUCUUUAAUUCCUUUGGAUCUUUUCUGAACCAAUGAGAAACAAUUUAGGAAAAAUUCUUCCUCAUAGGGCUAUAUUAUCUAAUGAAGCACAGCUGAUUUCUGUUGGCUAAGUAGUCUCAAAAAAAAAAAAAAAAGUUUUCUAAUGUGUCCAAGAUUCAAUAAUCGCUGAAUCAGUACAUCUUUAUGUAAGAGAAAAAUAAGAAAACUCUGCAGCAAGCAUGAUGAACACAGUUUUAAUUAAAAACAGUUCUACAGCUGGCAGCUGUCUUUUCCUGUGUUUUUAAGUUCUUUUAAAAAAAAUCUUCUCGAUUCUUAAAAACAAAUUCUACCUUUUCUUAUGACAUAUAUUUUGAUUUUUUCUGAUAGAUAUGAACAAGAAUCAUUUUUUAAUUCAUAUUAUCGCAAAUAUAUCAGCUUUAGUUAUAUGUUAGAGUCAGCCAACAAAGGGGGUGUGUGGAAUAAAAGCCUGCCCCCUACUCCCUAGAGUGUGAGCUCAGCUUUGGGAAGAUAACAAAACACUUAUGUAAGAGAUUAGUUCCUGAUGUUUAUUCAGUUCAGUCCACAAAAUGUGCUGUUUGCUUAAAAUCAAAACCCAGGUUUGCUCUUUCAGUCGGUGUCUUAUGCCUUUGUAUGCAUUGUGCCACAGUCUUACAAAAGGUCUCAAGCAUAAAUCCUAAAUCCUAUUAGAGGUUUCUAACUUCUAUCUCAUUGUGUCUGGCAAUAUCUUCUCUUUCAUCCUAAAUUAUCGCUGCUAUGGCAAGCCGAUCUUCUUACAAAGAAGAAACUAAUCAAAAAAAUGCUCCCAGUCUUUUUAAUUUCC